UACGUAGGUCCCGAGCGUUGUCCGGAUUUAUUGGGCGUAAAGCGAGCGCAGGUGGUUUAUUAAGUCUGGUGUAAAAGGCAGUGGCUCAACCAUUGUAUGCAUUGGAAACAGGUAGACUUGAGUGCAGGAGAGGAGAGUGGAAUUCCAUGUGUAGCGGUGAAAUGCGUAGAUAUAUGGAGGAACACCGGUGGCGAAAGCGGCUCUCUGGCCUGUAACUGACACUGAGGCUCGAAAGCGUGGGGAGCAAACAGG
rnacentral:rRNA from 1 species